rnacentral:rRNA from 2 species
AGAGUUUGAAUCAUGGCUCAGGACGAACGCUGGCGGCGUGCUUAACACAUGCAAGUCGAACGGUAAGGCCCUUCGGGGUACACGAGUGGCGAACGGGUGAGUAACACGUGGGUAAUCUGCCCUGCACAUCGGGAUAAGCCUGGGAAACUGGGUCUAAUACCGAAUAGGACCACAGAACACAUGUCCUGUGGUGGAAAGCUUUUGCGGUGUGGGAUGGGCCCGCGGCCUAUCAGCUUGUUGGUGGGGUGAUGGCCCACCAAGGCGACGACGGGUAGCCGGCCUGAGAGGGUGUCCGGCCACACUGGGACUGAGAUACGGCCCAGACUCCUACGGGAGGCAGCAGUGGGGAAUAUUGCACAAUGGGCGAAAGCCUGAUGCAGCGACGCCGCGUGGGGGAUGACGGCCUUCGGGUUGUAAACCUCUUUCACCAUCGACGAAGGUUCGGGUUUUCUCGGAUUGACGGUAGGUGGAGAAGAAGCACCGGCCAACUACGUGCCAGCAGCCGCGGUAAUACGUAGGGUGCGAGCGUUGUCCGGAAUUACUGGGCGUAAAGAGCUCGUAGGUGGUUUGUCGCGUUGUUCGUGAAAUCUCACGGCUUAACUGUGAGCGUGCGGGCGAUACGGGCAGACUUGAGUACUGCAGGGGAGACUGGAAUUCCUGGUGUAGCGGUGGAAUGCGCAGAUAUCAGGAGGAACACCGGUGGCGAAGGCGGGUCUCUGGGCAGUAACUGACGCUGAGGAGCGAAAGCGUGGGGAGCGAACAGGAUUAGAUACCCUGGUAGUCCACGCCGUAAACGGUGGGUACUAGGUGUGGGUUUCCUUCCUUGGGAUCCGUGCCGUAGCUAACGCAUUAAGUACCCCGCCUGGGGAGUACGGCCGCAAGGCUAAAACUCAAAGAAAUUGACGGGGGCCCGCACAAGCGGCGGAGCAUGUGGAUUAAUUCGAUGCAACGCGAAGAACCUUACCUGGGUUUGACAUGCACAGGACGCCGGCAGAGAUGUCGGUUCCCUUGUGGCCUGUGUGCAGGUGGUGCAUGGCUGUCGUCAGCUCGUGUCGUGAGAUGUUGGGUUAAGUCCCGCAACGAGCGCAACCCUUGUCUCAUGUUGCCAGCGGGUAAUGCCGGGGACUCGUGAGAGACUGCCGGGGUCAACUCGGAGGAAGGUGGGGAUGACGUCAAGUCAUCAUGCCCCUUAUGUCCAGGGCUUCACACAUGCUACAAUGGCCGGUACAGAGGGCUGCGAUGCCGCGAGGUUAAGCGAAUCCUUUUAAAGCCGGUCUCAGUUCGGAUCGGGGUCUGCAACUCGACCCCGUGAAGUCGGAGUCGCUAGUAAUCGCAGAUCAGCAACGCUGCGGUGAAUACGUUCCCGGGCCUUGUACACACCGCCCGUCACGUCAUGAAAGUCGGUAACACCCGAAGCCAGUGGCCUAACCCUUUGGGAGGGAGCUGUCGAAGGUGGGAUCGGCGAUUGGGACGAAGUCGUAACA